GGGGGCCGUGGUGCCGGAGCCGGGGGAAGAUAGAUGAGGCAAGCGUUGUCGGGAGUUACUGGGCGGAACGCGCACGCAGGCGGUCGCAGACGUGGGGUGUGAAAGCCCACGGGUGAACCGAGGGAGGCCAUCUCAAACGGUGCGACUGGAGUGCGGCAGAGGAGUGGGGAAUUGCCGGUGUAGUGGUGAAAUGCGUAGAGAUCGGCAGGAACACCAAAGGGGAAGCCAUCACUCUGGGCCAUGCCUGACGCUCAGGUGCGAAAGCGUGGGGAGCGAACCGGAUUAGAUACCCCAGUAGUC
rnacentral:rRNA from 1 species